GAUCCUGGCUCAGAACGAACGCUGGUGGCGUGUCUUAUACAUGCAAGUCGAGCGAGGCAGCAAUGCCGAGCGGCGAACGGGUGAGUAACGCGUAAGCAAUCUGCCCCAUAUCAGGAAAUACCCGCGCCAACGCGCGGUUAAUGUCCAGGAGAGUGGCCCUCCGCAUGGAGGGUUGACUAGAGAUUUAUCGGUAUGGGAUGAGCUUGCGUCCGAUUAGCUAGUUGGCGGGGCAACGGCCCACCAAGGCGACGAUCGGUAGCCGGCCUGAGAGGGUGAUCGGCCACAUUGGGACUGAGAUACGGCCCAGACUCCUACGGGAGGCAGCAGUAGGGAAUAUUGCACAAUGGGGGAAACCCUGAUGCAGCAACGCCCACGUGUGGGAAGAAGCAUUUCGGUGUGUAAACCACUGUCAUGAGGGAAUAAGGCCCGCCUUCGGACGGGAUUGAAUGUACCUUGAAAGGAAGCACCGGCAAACUUCGUGCCAGCCGCCGC
rnacentral:rRNA from 1 species